CCGCCGUUAUCGGGAUUAUUGGGCGUAAGCGCACGCAGGCGGUUUGUUAAGUCAGAUGUGAAAUCCCCGGGCACAACCAGGGAACUGCAUUUGAAACUGGCAAGCUAGAGUCUCGUAGAGGGGGGUAGAAUUCCAGGUGUAGCGGUGAAAUGCGUAGAGAUCUGGAGGAAUACCGGUGGCGAAGGCGGCCCCCUGGACGAAGACUGACGCUCAGGUGCGAAAGCGUGGGGAGCAAACAGGAUUAGAUACCCUGGUAGUCCACGCUGUAAACGAUGUCGAUUUGGAGGUUGUGCCCUUGAGGCGUGGCUUCCGGAGCUAACGCGUUAAAUCGACCGCCUGGGGAGUACGGCCGCAAGGUUAAAACUCAAAUGAAUUGACGGGGGCCCGCACAAGCGGUGGAGCAUGUGGUUUAAUUCGAUGCAACGCGAAGAACCUUACCUACUCUUGACAUCCAGAGAACUUUCCAGAGAUGGAUUGGUGCCUUCGGGAACUCUGAGACAGGUGCUGCAUGGCUGUCGUCAGCUCGUGU
rnacentral:rRNA from 1 species